rnacentral:rRNA from 1 species
AUCUGGGACAUCCGCCUCCCACUUAAGAUUCGGAUCUUUCUUUGACAAUGGAUCCGCGGCCACCUCCCGACCGGCGUUGAGGUUCUUAAGCGCCAUGGUCCUGGCGAUGGAAUGUGCCCCCUGUGUGGCACGGUAGAGGACGCUAAUCACAUCUUCUUCCUGUGCUACACGGCAUAGUUCCUUUGGUCUUGUUUCCACGAAACGGUUGGGGGACAGUGGUGCAACACCAACUUCCCUGACCUGCUUGCGGAAAUUCAAGCCUCCCCCCCUCGCUACAGACAUAUUAGAUGGCUGUGCGUCGGGGUUCUAGCCUGGACCCUGUGGACGGUUCGCAAUAAGCUUGUCAUUCAGAAGGUGCCCCUUCGGCGUGCGACUGACUCCAUCUUUAAAAUGUGUGGUUACUUGCAGCUCUGGCGGCCGCUUAGCCGCCCGCAGGACCGGGACGCCAUCGACAGACUCCUCACCGACCUCCGUUCGUUGGCCUUUCGCCUGGCGCCUCCGCUCCCGCUGCCACCACCGGAGCCCGACUAG